rnacentral:rRNA from 1 species
UCCGGUUGAUCCUGCCGGACCCGACUGCUAUUUGGGUGAGAAUAAGCCAUGCGAGUCGAAUGGGAUACCUAAAUCUCCCAUGGCAAACUGCUCAGUAACACAUGAUCAACUUACCCUACAGAGAAAAAUAACCUCGGGAAACUGAGGAUAAUGUUUCAUAGUUGAAUAGGCUUGGAAAAGUUUUUCAAUAAAAGGGAUAAGGAAAAUGGUCCUUAUCCGCUAUAGGAUAGGAUCGUGUUCGAUUAUGGUUGUUGGUGAGGUAACGGCUCACCAAGCCGAUAAUCGAUAGGGGCCGUGAGAGCGGGAGCCCCGAGAUGGGUACUGAGACAACGACCCAGGCCUUACGAGGCGCAGCAGGCGCGGAACCUCCGCAAUACACGAAAGUGUGACGGGGUUACCCAAAGUGCUCUUUCUAGAGCUGUGGUAGGUGAGUAAUGUUCCCUACUAGAAAGGAGAGGGCAAGGCUGGUGCCAGCCGCCGCGGUAAAACCAGCUCUUCAAGUGGUCGGGAUAAUUAUUUGGCUUAAAGUGUCCGUAGCCGGUUUAGAAAGUUCCUGGUAAAAUCGGGUAGCUUAACUAUCCGUAUGCUAGGAAUACUGCUAUACUAGAGGGCGGGAGAGGUCUGAGGUACUACAGGGGUAGGGGUGAAAUCUUAUAAUCCUUGUAGGACCACCAGUGGCGAAGGCGUCAGACUGGAACGCGCCUGACGGUGAGGGACGAAAGCCAGGGGAGCGAACCGGAUUAGAUACCCCCGUAGUCC